GGCCAAUUCAAAAAGGUUGUCCUUUGCAAACCUUAAACUCUAAACCUUGAACUCUAAGCGUGCAAAGCAUAAUGGGAGCAUAAUUUAAUCAGUUUAGAAAUCAUACAUGGGGUCCAUUUCUUAGAGACAUGGUAAAUAUUUCCUUACGAGAACAAUUCAUUCACAAAUAGCUGCAAUAUUCUACUACUAAGCUUGAAACUUGUGCUCCCAUUAAGCUUUACUCGCUUAGAGUUUAAAGUUUAAGGUUUAGAGUUUAAGACCCCGUUUAUACGGUACCGAACGUAUUUGGGACCGGUCUGAAUUUCGUCCUUUUUCGCCUGUUU